rnacentral:lncRNA from 1 species
CAGGGCUCUCAGCAGGAGGAAGCGGAUGGGACCUCUCCCAUGACCUGAGGGCCUUGGCCGGGAGGAAGCCUGCCCUGGCGAGGUGAAGCCCAGCAUAAAACACGGCCGCUUUUCCCUCCCAGUUCUGCCGAAUGCCCAGCCAGGCCCUGAUGGAACAUGCGCGCUCGUCCGCCAAUCAGCAGAAGCCUGAGCGUGGAGCCUUCUCCCAUUGGGUGGUCCAGAUAGGACGGGUAGCGGGAGAGGACAGAGUUUGUGGCGAGCACGUCCACCUGUCUCGCGUGUUCUCUGAUUCUCGAAUCCCCCACCAAGGAGAGCCUGCCUAGACUUCACCAAUGCCUGGCUUCAGAGAAGGGCUUCCAGAAUUGACAUGUGCGAAGCGUCCCUCUCCUUGGGAGACACGGUGAUCCGAGAGCUGCUUGGACCUGGAGCUUUGUCUCAGGCCGCUGAGGGGUGGGUUGAAGAUGUCUGGGCCGAGAAGGAGGAGGAGGAGAGUCCGCCGGUUCCCUUAGAAUCUCCCCAGGUUCUCAGGGUGCAGCGGCUCCCAGAGGACAGAAGUGGAUCCUGGGGACCUUUAUGGAGGAGAGUGUUCCAGGCAGAGCUUGGCCUGAAGGAACUUUGCCUGACUGGCAAGAGACUUAUAAACUCCAAAAUAUGCAAGUCAUCCUCCAUCUUGUUUUCCAUUUCCUUUGAGGCCGUUCCUUGGGCAUUGAGGCUUGAAUCCUGCUAUCAGAACUUUGGUGUUCUCUGGACACGUAACGUCCCCAGCGGGGCCCUAGCCUUUGGACUUGAACUGGAAUUUACACAACUGGCUUUGUUGAGUCUCCAAAUUACAGACAGCAGACCAUGGGACUUCUCCGCCUCCAUAAUCAUAGCUGGACUGCAGUGCUGUACCUUGCCAGCAGAGAAGGCUGUCUAGCACACAUCAGCCUGAAACCAGGAGAGUAUUUACAGUGUGCCCCGAGGCUACCAAGAAGCAGAGUUUGCUCAAGAUGACAGUCAACUGGAA